CGGCGGACGGGUGAGUAAUGCCUGGGAAUAUGCCCUGAUGUGGGGGAUAACUAUUGGAAACGAUAGCUAAUACCGCAUAAUCUCUUCGGAGCAGAGAGGGGGACCUUCGGGCCUCUCGCGUCAGGAUUAUCCCAGGUGGGAUUAGCUUGUUGGUGAGGUAAUGGCUCACCAAGGCAACGAUCCCUAACUGGUCUGAGAGGAUGAUCAGCCACACUGGAACUGAGACACGGUCCAGACUCCUACGGGAGGCAGCAGUGGGGAAUAUUGCACAAUGGGGGAAACCCUGAUGCAGCCAUGCCGCGUGUAUGAAGAAGGCCUUCGGGUUGUAAAGUACUUUCAGUAGGGAGGAAGGCAGAGUCGUUAAUAGCGGCAUUGUUUGACGUUACCUACAGAAGAAGCACCGGCUAACUCCGUGCCAGCAGCCGCGGUAAUACGGAGGGUGCGAGCGUUAAUCGGAAUUACUGGGCGUAGAGCGCAUGCAGGCGGUCUGUUAAGCAAGAUGUGAAAGCCCGGAGCUCACCCUCGGAACAGCAUUUUGAACUGGCAGACUAGAGACUUGUA
rnacentral:rRNA from 1 species